rnacentral:lncRNA from 13 species
ACAUCACCAGGCGACUUGGUACGGCAACACACGCCAACGAAUCGUCGGCGCGAGCGGGUGUCCGCCGCGAUUUACGAACUCGCGCCGAUAGAUAUUAAAGCGGGGACCAGCAAACGUGUCGUCCAGUGCAGCGUUGAAAGGAAUACUCUUCUUGUUACGAAACCCGAUACAUCGAACAGUGCCAGGAUAAAGCAAGCCUAAUCAAACAGUGUAACAUGAUUCGAUCGAUCGACGCACUUAGUACCUAUUGAAUGGAAUUAAUUGAUCAGCACCUAACGUCUAUUAAUCACUCUCAACAAAUACAUUAAAAAAAAAAAAAAAAA